AUGUUGCCAAUGCAGUUGUGCUUGUUGCAGCGCACCCCUGCACAUGAUCGAGUUGUCGUGGUUGUAGAUCUGCACCUUGAGGCCAAGCCCGAAGAUUCACAAGACGAGGAGGUCGCCGGGGACGAUCCUGUGGCGGCGGCAGAAGUACUGCCAGCCUCGGUUAAGGACCAUCUGACCCAAGAAGUUCUGGACCUGAACCCAGAACUCGCACCACUUGUUGGCCGACAGUGUAACGACGCGCGGGGCCUUGAUCACCAGCCGCUGCUUCAUCACCUCCGUGAACUUGGGCGGGAUGAUGAGCAUGGUGAGAUCCUCCAUGUCCUUGAUCUGAACGUAGAAACACAACGGCUCUCAUGCCCCCUCUUCGUGGCUGGUGCUCAGAGACCGUCCCCGUGA
rnacentral:rRNA from 1 species